rnacentral:rRNA from 1 species
AAAGGAAUUGACGGGGGCCCGCACAAGCGGAGGAACAUGUGGUUUAAUUCGAUGAUACGCGAGGAACCUUACCCGGGCUUGAAAGUGAGCGACGUGCAUAGAGAUAUGCAUUCCCUUCGGGGCGCGAAACUAGGUGCUGCAUGGUUGUCGUCAGCUCGUGCCGUGAGGUGUCGGGUCAAGUCCCAUAACGAGCGCAACCCACGUUGAUAGUUACCAUCAGGUCAAGCUGGGGACUCUAUCGAGACUGCCGGUGCAAGCCGAGAGGAAGGUGUGGAUGACGUCAAAUCAGCACGGCCCUUACGUCCGGGGCUACACACGUGUUACAAUGGAUGGGACAGAAGGAAGCGAGCUAGUGAUAGCAAGCGGAUCCCGAAACCCAUCCCUAGUUCGGAUAGGAGUCUGCAACCCGACUCCUUGAAGCUGGAUUCGCUAGUAAUCGCGCAUCAGCCAUGGCGCGGUGAAUACGUUCCCGGGCCUUGUACACACCGCCCGU